GAUUCCCUUUCUACAACUCAAACCCAUCUCAAUUAUACAAUGAAAACCCCCUAGGGAUCUG
rnacentral:other from 1 species